rnacentral:rRNA from 1 species
UACGAGAGGUCCAAACGUUAUUCGGAAUCACUGGGCUUACAGAGUUCGUAGGCGGUCUGGAAAGUUGGGUGUGAAAUCCCUCGGCCUAACCGAGGAACUGCGCUUGAAACUACCAGACUCGAGGGAGAUAGAGGAAAGCGGAACUGAUGGUGGAGCGGUGAAAUGCGUUGAUAUCAUCAGGAACACCGGUGGCGAAGGCGCUUUCUGGGUCUUACCU